GGAGUUAACUCAGUAGAGCUGGCUAAGCAUGUAGAACCGAUAGCGGAGAGCUGGCGGACGGGGGUUCAAAUCCCCCCGGCUCCACCA
rnacentral:tRNA from 1 species